rnacentral:tRNA from 1 species
CAAGGAAUAGUUUAAACAGAACUUCAGCUUUGGGAGUUGAUGGUGNGGCGGUUGCUUCUUCCUUGA